ACGUUGAAAACACCUAUUUCCGUACGAUCACUGAAGUUAAGCAACGUCAACCCUGGUCAGUACCUAGAAGGGUGACCAAUUGAGAAUACCAGGUGCU